rnacentral:misc_RNA from 1 species
AGUUUGCGUGAGGGAUAGAAGAGAAAAUCCCACAGCCUGACGAAGGAAGAGCGAGGACUUGUAACGGAUAGCCCGACCCGGA